GUUUUGUUUGUUUCCCUUGGAUAAAAGUGACUCCGAUUUUUAAUGGCUCCUCUCAAAGAUUAACAUCUCUUCACUAAAUACAGAAGAAUUCCAUAUGUAAUGAAUUUCCAGCCUCCAUGAAAACAAAAUGGACUCUUUCAUGCUGUCUCAACAUAUGAAUACAUUGCUCUGUCACCUGGGUGUUAUUACCGACUUAAAUCUGAAAGAAGCUGGGCACGGCAGUGGUGUGUGGGUGCCUGCAGUCCUGAGGAGCUGGGACUGUUUCCCGAACAAUGCCUUUCCACCACACACGGUGGUUGUGAGGGCCAGCUGAGGCAAAGCCCUCAGGAAGACCACUCAAGCCCAGGAGUCCAGCCUGCGCAAGACACUUUUUUUAGGCUUCUGUCACCACAAAAUGUUACUUGGAAAACUAGAUCCCAGCAGAUGACCUGUACUUCUCUGCUCUCUCCCCUACUGCAAAGAGGCAGUGAGGGCAGCAUUAGUAAGCCUGACUCAGGGGAAGGUAAGUGGCCUGCAGAGAAAUGGUCCUAGGUCCGCAACCGAGGCGAGUGAACUUGUCGGACAGAUGAAGACUCUAACUGGAAGAAACGAUCAGCGCAUUCACGGAUGCACCACCAUCCAGAAAUCUCCCGGUGGCUUCCAUACAAAAACUGAUGUUUCUAAAGAUGGAAAGAACAGGUCUAGGAGGCAGAAGAGUAUCUCCUAGCAAAGUGUUCUGUAGCUCAAAGGGCAGUCAGGAGCACGUCUUUGAAUUCCUCGCAGACGAUGUAUCCAUCAGUCCUGUGGGGACACAACGCGAUGUCAACCCUCGAACCUGCUGCCUGCUCUGCCUCUCCUCCCUCCCCAGUUUGUGGAAGACAGUGGGCCACAUCUGAGCACUAGGGGUCCUGAAGGAUGUCGCGGGUCAGCCAGUGUCCCACAUCCUCCGUGCAGAAGGCAGG
rnacentral:lncRNA from 1 species